rnacentral:rRNA from 1 species
UACGAAGGGUGCAAGCGUUACUCGGAAUUACUGGGCGUAAAGCGUGCGUAGGUGGUUUGUUAAGUCUGCUGUGAAAGCCCCGGGCUCAACCUGGGAAUGGCAGUGGAUACUGGCAAGCUAGAGUGCGAUAGAGGGGUGUGGAAUUCCCGGUGUAGCGGUGAAAUGCGUAGAUAUCAGGAGGAACACCUGCGGUGUAGACGGCUUACUGGACGGUAACUGACGCUGAGGCACGAAAGCGUGGGUAGCAAACAGG